rnacentral:rRNA from 1 species
AACGAACGCUGGCGGCAGGCCUAACACAUGCAAGUCGAGCGAGAAGCUUUCUUCGGAAAGUGGACAGCGGCGGACGGGUGAGUAAUGCGUGGGUAUAUGCCCUUUGGUACGGAAUAGCCCUUGGAAACGAGGAGUAAUACCGUAUGUGCCCUACGGGGGAAAGAUUUAUCGCCAAAGGAUUAGCCCACGUUGGAUUAGCUUGUUGGUGAGGUAAAGGCUCACCAAGGCAACGAUCUAUAGCUGGUUUGAGAGGAUGAUCAGCCACACUGGGACUGAGACACGGCCCAGACUCCUACGGGAGGCAGCAGUGGGGAAUAUUAGACAAUGGGCGCAAGCCUGAUCUAGCCAUGCCGCGUGAGUGAAGAAGGCCCUAGGGUUGUAAAGCUCUUUCAGAUGUGAGGAUGAUGACAGUAACAUCAGAAGAAGCCCCGGCUAACUUCG